rnacentral:rRNA from 1 species
GACGAACGCUGGCGGCGUGCUUAACACAUGCAAGUCGAACGGAAAGGCCCUGCGUUUGUGGGGUGCUCGAGUGGCGAACGGGGGAGUAACACGUGAGUAACCUGCCCUUGACUUUGGGAUAACUUCAGGAAACUGGGGCUAAUACCGGAUAGGAGCUCCUGCUGCAUGGUGGGGGUUGGAAAGUUUCGGCGGGUGGGGAUGGACGGGCGGCUUAUCAGCUUGUUGGUGGGGUAGGGGCUUGCCAAGGCUUUGACGGGUAGCCGGCCUGAGAGGGUGACCGGCCACAUUGGGACUGCGAUACGGCCCAGACUCCUACGGGAGGCAGCAGUGGGGAAUAUUGCACAAUGGGCGGAAGCCUGAUGCAGCAACGCCGCGUUCGGGAUGCCGGCCUUCGGGUUGUAAACCGCUUUCGCCUGUGACGAAGCGUGAGUGACGGUAAUGGGUAAAGAAGCACCGGCUAACUACGUG